AGCGAACGCUGGCGGCAGGCCUAACACAUGCAAGUCGAACGAACUCUUCGGAGUUAGUGGCGGACGGGUGAGUAACACGUGGGAACGUGCCUUUUGGUUCGGAAUAACUCAGGGAAACUUGUGCUAAUACCGAAUGUGCCCUUCGGGGGAAAGAUUUAUCGCCAUUAGAGCGGCCCGCGUCUGAUUAGCUAGUUGGUGAGGUAACGGCUCACCAAGGCGACGAUCAGUAGCUGGUCUGAGAGGAUGACCAGCCACACUGGGACUGAGACACGGCCCAGACUCCUACGGGAGGCAGCAGUGGGGAAUCUUGCGCAAUGGGCGAAAGCCUAACGCAGCCAUGCCGCGUGAAUGAUGAAGGUCCUAGGAUUGUAAAAUUCUUUCACCGGGGACGAUAAUGACGGUACCCGGAGAAGAAGCCCCGGCUAACUUCGUG
rnacentral:rRNA from 1 species